rnacentral:rRNA from 1 species
UUUUUACGAGAGUUUGAUCCUGGCUCAGGAUGAACGCUGGCGGCGUGCUUAACACAUGCAA